rnacentral:lncRNA from 1 species
AAAAGCUUCGUGAGUGUAGACUGGGGCUUACAAAUGAGUCUCAGCAGAUGAGGAUCGACUGUGUAUACGUAUAGCACAAUCGCAGCAGUUCUAGUGGUGUCCGGUAUUUGUCAAUUUACAGUAGAUCUGAGAAACUGAGAAGCUAGAGGCAAGGGGCAGAGACUGGGAGAAUCUGAGACUACAGCUGAAAAGAGCCUUGAGUGAGUGAAGUCGCUUAGUCGUGUCCGACUCUUUGCGACCCCGUGGACUGUAGCCUAACAAGGUUCCUCCAUCCAUGGGAUUUUCCAGGCAAGGAAUGAAGAGAAAGGUUGUGUGGAGUGUUGGAGGUGCUGCUUUGGGGAACAAGUAAAGAGUAUAGCAGAAAAAGAUCUACGUAGUAUAUGUAUGACAUGUAUCUCUUUAAAAAAAAAAACUCAUAAACAUUCAUUCUCUAAAACAAUGUUCACCUACUGUCCCUUGGAUGACUUCAACUUAAUUUCACACUUAAUAACCUUAAAGAUUAGAGCAUUUAAUUACAGCAGUUACUGCUGAUUGCUUUGGAAAUGAAAAAUGAAUAUCUAAUAUAAAGUCAUUAAUACUGU